UAACACCAGCGCCACAAGUGGCAACCGCUUUUAUUGGGCCUAAAGCGUCCGUAGCCGGUUUAGUAAAUUUCCUGUGAAAUCGUUAGGCUUAACUUAACAACGUGCAGGAAAGACUACUAGACUAGGGACCGGGAGGCGUCAGAGGUAUUCCUGAGGGAGCGGUAAAAUGCUAUAAUCUCAGGAGGACCCCCUGUGGCGAAGGCGUCUGACGAGAACGGAUCCAACGGUGAGGGACGAAAGCCAAGGGAGCGAACCGGAUUAGAUACCCGAGUAGUCUUGGCUGUAAACUCUGCGAGCUAGGUGUUGCAUAUUCUUCGGGAAUAUGCAGUGUCGAAGCGAAGGUGUUAAGCUCGCCGCCUGGGAAGUAUGGUUGCAAGACUG
rnacentral:rRNA from 1 species